rnacentral:lncRNA from 1 species
UCUUUUUUUUUUUUUUUUAAGCUUGAAAUGGAUCAUAGUUUUGUGAAGAGUGAAUUGAAUUCGGAGCAGAUCUUAGUGAGAUUUAUAUUCACCUGGCAAAUCGGUGUUGUGGUGCUUUUAUUCCCUAUAUAUUAGCUCUGUACCUUAAGAAAAGUAACUUUCUAAAACUUGAUUUUGUUAUGAAUCAUGAACUUUGAAUAAGUAACCUAAGGUUUAUACCAGCCCAGUUUUAUAAUUCACAUUCAUGAUAUCGGUGCUUUUUAUUUCAACAGGUACACAAGUAAAGAGUAAAGUAUUUUUAUGAAACAAAUCUUCAAUCAAGUAUAACAUUUUGAUGCUUCGCAUCUAGACUCCUUGUGCUGUCACUAUGCCAGCAGCAACUGUAGAUCAUAGCCAAAGAAUUUGUGAAGUUUGGGCUUGUAACCUGGAUGAAGAGAUGAAGAAAAUCCGUCAAGUUAUCCGAAAAUAUAAUUAUGUUGCUAUGGACACCGAGUUUCCAGGCGUUGUUGCAAGGCCCAUUGGAGAAUUCAGAAGCAAUGCUGACUAUCAGUACCAACUGUUGCGAUGUAAUGUAGACUUG